CAUGCAAGUCGAACGAUGAAGCCCAGCUUGCUGGGUGGAUUAGUGGCGAACGGGNNNNNNNCACGUGAGUAACCUGCCCUUAACUCUGGGAUAAGCCUGGGAAACUAGGUCUAAUACCGGAUAGGAGCGCCUACCGCAUGGUGGGUGUUGGAAAGAUUUAUCGGUUUUGGAUGGACUCGCGGCCUAUCAGCUUGUUGGUGAGGUAAUGGCUCACCAAGGCGACGACGGGUAGCCGGCCUGAGAGGGUGACCGGCCACACUGGGACUGAGACACGGCCCAGACUCCUACGGGAGGCAGCAGUGGGGAAUAUUGCACAAUGGGCGAAAGCCUGAUGCAGCGACGCCGCGUGAGGGAUGACGGCCUUCGGGUUGUAAACCUCUUUCAGUAGGGAAGAAGCGAAAGUGACGGUACCUGCAGAAGAAGCACCGGCUAACUACGUGCCAGCAGCCGCGGUAAUACGUAGGGUGCGAGCGUUAUCCGGAAUUAUUGGGCGUAAAGAGCUCGUAGGCGGUUUGUCGCGUCUGUCGUGAAAGUCCGGGGCUUAACCCCGGAUCUGCGGUGGGUACGGGCAGACUAGAGUGCAGUAGGGGAGACUGGAAUUCCUGGUGUAGCGGUGGAAUGCGCAGAUAUCAGGAGGAACACCGAUGGCGAAGGCAGGUCUCUGGGCUGUAACUGACGCUGAGGAGCGAAAGCAUGGGGAGCGAACAGGAUUAGAUACCCUGGUAGUCCAUGCCGUAAACGUU
rnacentral:rRNA from 1 species